GAUGAACGCUGGCGGCGUGCCUAAUACAUGCAAGUCGAGCGAAUGGAUUAAGAGCUUGCUCUUAUGAAGUUAGCGGCGGACGGGUGAGUAACACGUGGGUAACCUGCCCAUAAGACUGGGAUAACUCCGGGAAACCGGGGCUAAUACCGGAUAACAUUUUGAACCGCAUGGUUCGAAAUUGAAAGGCGGCUUCGGGUGUCACUUAUGGAUGGACCCGCGUCGCAUUAGCUAGUUGGUGAGGUAACGGCUCACCAAGGGCACGAUGCGUAGCCGACCUGAGAGGGUGAUCGGCCACACUGGGACUGAGACACGGCCCAGACUCCUACGGGAGGCAGCAGUAGGGAAUCUUCCGCAAUGGACGAAAGUCUGACGGAGCAACGCCGCGUGAGUGAUGAAGGCUUUCGGGUCGUAAAACUCUGUUGUUAGGGAAGAACAAGUGCUAGUUGAAUAAGCUGGCACCUUGACGGUACCUAACCAGAAAGCCACGGCUAACUACGUGCCAGCCGCCGCCGUAA
rnacentral:rRNA from 1 species